AAUUUUGAGUUGUAGAGAGAGAAAGUAUAUUAAAAUUUUAGAGAGAGAAACUGUAUCAAGUUUUGUUGCCAAAAAAAUAGACAUAGAAGUAAUUGCAAAGAAUCAUGAAUUUUUUAUAGUUUAUCCAAACACAAGAUUUAAAGAAUCCAUGACAAAAAUCUUUGAUAUUGAAAAUCUAUGGAUUUUGUUGGAUUUCAAAUAUCUAAGAUUCUUAAUUUCUGCUAUCCAAAUGGCCUUAAGGACUUGUUUGGAUACAUGGAAUAUGGGACAUGGACUUAUAAUAUAUCUUGGAUAAUACCAAAAUCCAUUGUUUGGAUUGCUUAAAGACUAGGAUACCUAAAAUCAGGAAAUCAAAAUCAUGGAAAUGUGACCUAUUUUUCCAUGAUCCCAUUUCCUCCCAAAAAAUGAGACCUUUCCAUGUCGCAGAAACUCCCCAAUCCAAUCCUUCAUGCCAUGGCUCUCUCUCUCCAACCAGGGCUUUGCAUAUUUUUUGAAGUAUACACACAAGGUUGGCUUGUUCAAUCUAUCUGCAAGCACACAAAUAAGUUUGCAAUUGGGGAUUUAUUAUUUUUCCUACCAUUUGAAUUGUAGAAAUAUAGAACAAAUUUUGUAUCUGAUUAAUUGGGUUUUGGUGGUUUGGGUUUUUAUCUUUAUGUUCCUUAAUGGUUGAGUUUUUCACAGUGAGGGAUAUCUGGUUUUUGAUGGUUUAGGGCAUUGAUUUUAUGCCUUGUUGGUUGAUUUGUUUUGUGGGUGAGCAUUGUAGUCUUAGCCAAAAGACUGGUGGGUGUUUAAUUGUUUUCAUUGAGUUUGAUUCAUGUAAUUUUGGGCUUUCUUAUGAGUUAUUUAGUAUAUUGUGUAAGUCUCUCUAUUUGAUUAUGAUUGACUGAAUUUAUUCAUUUUCAUCAGCCUAUGCAUUGUUUUACUGUGUGGGUUCUGAUAGAUCUAAGUUUUUUGUAUAUUAAAUUCUUAUAGCACUCUUAAGAUUGGAUGAUACAGUCUAAACCUAGUUGUGGAUUUAUUAUGAAUAUUUUUGUUUCUCUAUUUGUGAACAAGGUACUGAUCUCUAUCUAUUAAAUGAGUUACUGAUUUUGUCCAUUUUCAUCAGUUCAUGCAUUGUUUUGAUUUUAAGAAUCUCAUAGAUCCAACAUACGCAUAUCAAAUUUUUGGUUUUGUAGGAGCAAAAGCAUAUGUUGAUCUUCCCAUAGCAUAAGCACCUCUAAAUACAAAUCUUGUCAAACUAGAUUCAUCUCAAAUCCAAUACUAAUUCUUUUUUCCACCAAAUUCAUUCGCACAUAUUCAAAGUUAUCAUCCUCUUUUCAGGAAUGCUUAUUUGUUAUUUGUUUCCAAACCAUAUUCUUCCUUCACAAAGAAUUAAUCUAGCCUUGAACUUAUUUAUAAGCUUAUGGCUCCUUUGCUUUGGAGGGUAGGGUUUAGGGAUUAAACCACAAUGGCAUGGGGUUCCAAAGUGUGUCAUUGUAUUUAUUGCAUUGAAUUAGCUCAUAUCAAGUGGCUUAGCAAAUUAAAUAAAACAAAAAACAACCUUAAAAGUUCUGAAUAAGAUUAAAAAUUUAAAAAAAGUGCACCUAAAAGGCGUUGAUUAAUAUUUAGGACUAGCAAAUCGUCCAGCAACUUAAUGUAGUGAACGAUUGAUUCAAUAUGGGCAAAGUUGCGCUACUCUAACAACAUAGUUUAGUUUCCUAGAUUUAACCAUGUGGAUUGUUUUUAUCUAAUUUUCAUAGUGUGAACAUUACAGUUUGGGAGACUAUGUUUUUGUGAUUGGAACUAAUAUUGUGCAUCUCCAUUCCAAUUUGGAUGCAUUUCAAUUUUAUGAUAACAUCUUUAUUAUUCGUAUUUUACUGUUUAAUUUCCCAUUUGAUAUUUAGCUUUGUUUCUUAUCUUUUUGCAAGUUAUUUAAGUUCUAUGCAGCUUUUAAGAAUGAAUUGUCUGAGAAUGUGGCUUUAUGAAUGAUAGAUGUCUAAUAACAAUGGGAAAAUGUCUGUACUAAUGAAAUGGAAACGGAAGAGGACGAUGAACUUGAUAUGUUAACCAUGCUUAUGUUGGUAGUUGCAACUACAUGUGUCGCAGCUGCGGCCUGGUAUCAUACAAGUUAUAUAGAUAGAGAACCAAAUGUGGAUAGAAAGAAACAAAUGCAUAAAUGGAAUCAUUAACGUAUCAAAUGUACAAUGUCGGAACCAAUUGAGAUUGAGUAAGCAUGUUUUUCUUUAUCUUUGUAACAUCUUAUGGGAUAGAGGCAUUCUGCAUCCCACAAGAAGGGUGUCUAUAAGAACAAUUAGUAAUAUUUCUGCACACUCUUAGCCACAAUGUUAAUAAUCGAGAGAUUGGCAACCGAUUUUCUCGUUCCGACGAAACGGUUAAUCGAUAUUUCAAUGUUGUACUAAAUGCAGUAGUGGGCCUCUACUCAGACUUUAUGAAAUAGGCUAGCUCUACAACUCUUACAGAGAACAACAGUCAAUUGGCCCCAUAUUUUAAGGUGAUUACCUAUCACAAUCUCACAUUAUUUAUGGUGGAUUAUCAUUCACAUAUUUUAAGGUGAUUACCUA